GGAGCGGGGAAGGAUGCAUUUCAGCUUGCAGGUUACAGCCCUUCCUUUCAGGGAAUCAGGAAAAGAAACUUGAAACAGAAACCAUGGACAAAAAUUGCUUGCUGGUUGGAUCUCUCAGGCACAUGCUUAGCUGGCUUUCUUAUACAGCCUACGACCACAUCCCCAUGGAAUAUGACCUUCGUCCAAGUUUCGCAGACAACCUUCCAAUCCCAGUUGCCGGAUAUCAAACUAUCCUGCCAACGACAGGACCAAGAACUAAAGCUGAGCUUCUCUAACUAUAGGUUGUGACCUCAUCUGCGGUCAUGUGACCAGACGUUAGUCAGCCCCCAAAUUUUGGGAACAAUAGAAGGUUUCUGAACAUGCAACCACCAAAAACCAUUUUGAAAUCAACCAUGUAACAAGUCCACAGUGUCCCUGGUGACACUCGCCUGAGUUGUAUCACGUGGCUUCGCUGCAGCCUUGGCUCUGAACACGCAGCAUGUGUAUUCUGCCCUGUGCGUAUUGCCACAGCACACAGUGUCAACGAACACUGGCAGUGACACCUCUGCUCAGACUCGAGAGACUUUAGCAUGUCCUGAUCUUUAGUGUUUUCACAGGACGUGACAAGAUUCUUGCUUUUCUAGACAGGUAGUAAUUUAAUGACCGAAGACAAAGUGUCUCCGCGUUUCCCUGCCAUGUUCCUCAGCAUGUAAGUCUCACAUAAAUAUGCUUUUGAGU